rnacentral:rRNA from 1 species
UGUAUAAUGGGUCAGCGACUUAUAUUCUGUAGCAAGGUUAACCGAAUAGGGGAGCCGAAGGGAAACCGAGUCUUAACUGGGCGUUAAGUUGCAGGGUAUAGACCCGAAACCCGGUGAUCUAGCCAUGGGCAGGUUGAAGGUUGGGUAACACUAACUGGAGGACCGAACCGACUAAUGUUGAAAAAUUAGCGGAUGACUUGUGGCUGGGGGUGAAAGGCCAAUCAAACCGGGAGAUAGCUGGUUCUCCCCGAAAGCUAUUUAGGUAGCGCCUCGUGAACUCAUCUCCGGGGGUAGAGCACUGUUUCGGCAAGGGGGUCAUCCCGACUUACCAACCCGAUGCAAACUGCGAAUACCGGAGAAUGUUAUCACGGGAGACACACGGCGGGUGCUAACGUCCGUCGUGAAGAGGGAAACAACCCAGACCGCCAGCUAAGGUCCCAAAGUCAUGGUUAAGUGGGAAACGAUGUGGGAAGGCCCAGACAGCCAGGAUGUUGGCUUAGAAGCAGCCAUCAUUUAAAGAAAGCGUAAUAGCUCACUGGUCGAGUCGGCCUGCGCGGAAGAUGUAACGGGGCUAAACCAUGCAC